GACGAACGCUGGCGGCGUGCUUAACACAUGCAAGUCGAGCGGUAAGGCCCUUUCGGGGGUACACGAGCGGCGAACGGGUGAGUAACACGUGGGUGACCUGCCCUUAGCUCUGGGAUAAGCCUGGGAAACUGGGUCUAAUACCGGAUAUGACUCCAUGACGCAUGUUGUGGGGUGAAAGCCUUGUGCGGCUAGGGAUGGGCCCGCGGCCUAUCAGCUUGUUGGUGGGGUGAUGGCCACCAAGGCGACGACGGGUAGCCGGCCUGAGAGGGCGACCGGCCACACUGGGACUGAGACACGGCCCAGACUCCUACGGGAGGCAGCAGUGGGGAAUCUUGCGCAAUGGGCGAAAGCCUGACGCAGCGACGCCGCGUGAGGGAUGACGGCC
rnacentral:rRNA from 1 species